rnacentral:lncRNA from 1 species
GGGACAACAUAUUACUCCUUCAAUACCUCAAUGAAGAGGAACGCAAUCACCCCCCUGAUUGGAGAACGAAGACUUACAUACAACAUUUCGAUGCUAGUUCCCAAAACUCAUCAUUUACUACCUGCAAGAUUAGCAUGGAAAACAACAAUGAAGCGGAUCUUUUAGCUAGAUAGGCUCUGGCUUAUAGUUUAGACAUCUCUCAGCCUUUCUAGGCUUUCUGCUCCUGUACUUCAGGCUCUGAAUAAUGUUACCCUAACCUCUGUAAGGUUACUCACAGCUUCUUGCGGUUAAUAAAUGAAUUCCGUUUUUGUAAAAAAAGGAUCUAUUUUUUUCUCUAUAUUCAAUAUCUUAUACUAAUUUUUUUUGUGUAAUUUUUUUUGAAAACUAUCAUAUCAACUUGUUCGUUUAAGCUUAUCAGCCGAAUUAGCCAGUUAUUUAGCAAUAUUUUUCUCUCACAACAAAUCAGCCAACGAUACUUUCUGCUACGGUUUAUUAGCCAAACGAACAAGGCAGAUCUGUGCUCUCCUAUCCAUAGGGGUUAAAUGUGUGGUGUGUAUGAAAAAUUGAAAAGCUUGUAAUUGCAUUUUCGAGCUCCAUUUCCGGUGUUGUCGGUCUGGUCAAAAGUGCAGGCACAUUUCAGGCCUGGUUUAGUUCACCUCAAAACUAUUUUUUUUUUAAGAUUUCCUGUCAUAUAGAAUCUUGCGGCAUAUGCAUGGAGCAUUAAAUAUAGAUAAAAACAAAAACUAAUUGUAUAGUUUACCUGUAAAUCACGAGAUGAAUCUUUUGAGUCUAGUUAGUCCAUAAUCGAAUAAUAUUUAUCAAAUAAAAAUAAAAAUAAAUGCUAUAGUAUCAAAAUCUAAAAUAUUUUCGGAACUAAACAAGGCCUCCGCCGCAAAGGUUGCUGUGAAGUUGCAGACUGACAAAAAUUGCCUGCUCCCAGUCCUAUCCAAAAGCCGCAAUUGCAGGUGUCGUUUUUCUCUUUUGGCUUAUCUGAGGGGAACAUACGGAACAACCUUUGGUUAGGCCUUGUUUAGUUUCAAAAAAUUUUGCAAAACAGGUACUGUAGCACUUUCGUUUGUUUGUGAAAAAUAUUAUCCAAUCAUGGAUUAACUAGGCCUAAAAAAUCCGUCCCAUCAAUUCCGACCAAACUAUGCAAUUAGUUUUUAUUUUCGUCUAUAUUUAAUAUUUCAUGCAUGCGUCUAAAGAUUCGAUGUGACAGGGAAUCUGAAAAAUUCCGCAAAAUUUUUUAGGAACUAAACAAGGCCUUAGUACUCCGUCAAGAGAAGGAUUGUAUUAUUAUUUUGUUACAGGGUGUUGCGACUACAUAC